rnacentral:rRNA from 1 species
GACAGAGGGUGCAAACGUUGUUCGGAAUUACUGGGCGUAAAGCGCGUGUAGGCGGCUUCGCAAGUCGGAUGUGAAAUCCCACGGCUCAACCGUGGAAGUGCAUUCGAAACUGCAAGGCUAGAGUUCUGGAGAGGAAGGUGGAAUGCUUGGUGUAGAGGUGAAAUUCGUAGAUAUCAAGCGGAACACCGGUGGCGAAGGCGGGUCUCUGGGCCGUUACUGACGCUGAGGAGCGAAAGCGUGGGGAGCGAACAGG